UACGUAGGGUGCAAGCGUUGUCCGGAAUUAUUGGGCGUAAAGCGCGCGCAGGCGGUUCUUUAAGUUUGAUGUGAAAGCCCACGGCUCAACCGUGGAGGGUCAUUGGAAACUGGGGGACUUGAGUACAGAAGAGGAAAGCGGAAUUCCACGUGUAGCGGUGAAAUGCGUAGAGAUGUGGAGGAACACCAGUGGCGAAGGCGACUCUUUGGCCUGUAACUGACGCUGAGGCGCGAAAGCGUGGGGAGCAAACAGG
rnacentral:rRNA from 1 species